UACGAAGGUGGCAAGCGUUGUUCGGAUUUACUGGGCGUAAAGGGAGCGUAGGUGGUUAGGUAAGCCCUCCGGGAAAUCUUCAGGCUUAACCUGAAAAGGUCGGGGGGGACUGCCUAGCUAGAGGGCGGGAGAGGAGCGCGGAAUUCCCGGUGUAGCGGUGAAAUGCGCAGAUAUCAGGAGGAACACCGGUGGCGAAGGCGGGUCUCUGGGCCGAUACUGACGCUGAGGAGCGAAAGCGUGGGGAGCAAACAGG
rnacentral:rRNA from 1 species